rnacentral:lncRNA from 1 species
AUCUGCAGCUGGACAGAGAAGUGGUGCUUUGUUUCUCUGUGCCUCAGUUUCCCUCUUGGUAAAAUAGGCAUGGUUCCUCCUAUGGAUGUAAGAAGGACCUAGGAACCUUUGCAAGGGCAGAGGAGUCCGCCCCUCUGGUCUGACUGGGAGACAAGGUGUUCCCCAAUCUGAUGGUGGGGACAAGGUGGCCCAACACAGUGGGAAAAAUAAGGAAACUAAGGAGCUCUCACCAAAUCCCAUGAGGGAGACAGGACUGUCCAAAUCCAAUGAAGAAGAUAAGAAGCUCCAGUCCUGUGCAGCAAGAACGAGUGUCCAGUCUAUAUUUCCAGUCUGCCAGGGGAGGGGACCCCUCUGAGGAGGUGACAUCUGAGCAGAGACCUGACUGGAGUGAUGCAGGUGUCUGAGGGAAGGAAAUUCCUGGCAGCGGGAACAGCCAGUGCAAAGGCCCCGAGGAAGGAGUUGCUUGAUUUGUUCAAACAAUAGCCAGGAGGCCAGGUGGCUGCAGUGAGUGAAGGAGAGGAGAUGAUGAAGGGAAUGACGGGCGGGCAGGCCUGCAGACCAUUGUAAGGACCCUGGAGUCCGAUCCGAAGGGGAGAUGCUCCAGGAAAUGUGGCUUUACCUCUGGGCGCCUCAGUAUCCUCUUCUGAGAAACAUGCAACAUGACACCUGCGUCUGAAGGUCUCUGUGAGGACUCAGGGAGCUCCUGCCUCCACAGGCAGGAGGCAGCCGCACAGGUGAGGCCCUUUGGCUGCACUGGUCCUGUGCAACCUUGCAGAUUUGGGGUGCCCUCUCUGGACUCUGCAUUCUCCACACUGUGUGUCAGGAUGGGCUGAAGCUGAUGGGGCUCAUUCCUUGGUUCCCAAAGUCUGGCCUUGGCACCCCCUCCUCCAUGCUCCUCUUCUGUCUCCUUCCUCUUUCUUCUCCUCUUCCUCCCCAUCCCUCCUCCUCCUCCACCUCCUCCACCUCCUUCUUCUCCCUUUUUGCCCUGUUCCCCUUUUCUCCCUCCUCCACCCUCCUCCUACUCCCUUCUCUUUCCUCCUUUUUUUUUUUUCUCUCUCUCCCACCUCCCCCUUCCCUCCUCCCUGCUCUCCAUCCUGAAUCAACAUUCCAGUCCAUGGAAAAAAACAGGGCAGGCUUCCUUCCUCUCCCUGGCAGGGCUCCAGAGAGGGACUGGGCCAUUGUGUAUUCUGGCCUCAAGGUCACCCCGACUCCCUGCCCUCCCCAGUGUGGUUAUUUGAGAAAAGGCAGCUUGGGUGAGGGGGAAGGGAUUGGGGCUGAGAGGGGUAUAGUCUGCCUCCCCACCCACGGCUGGUGGAACCUGAGGGCCCCCGGCGCCACCAGAGCUUCGUGGCUUAAUGGGGGAGGCGAGGAGCCACUGCGGACCUGCUCGGGACAGUGAAGGGCGCCAGUCUCAGCCCUCAUCUGAAACCUGCUCCGUGACCCUGGACUAGUUCCUGCUCCUCUCUGGACCAAAUCCUGGCCCUGCUCCUUUCUGGCUGAGUAACUUUGGGAGGCAGGGGCAGUAUUAUCAUCUCCAUUUUACGAGGAGGAAAAGCAAGCAAUGUACCCAAGUUCCCACAGCUAAAAAGAAUUCUGUCUGUCCUCAGAGCUGUGCCCUGAAACCCUCUGCCCUGCUGAAGAAUGGAGAGGACUCCCCCACCAGCACCUCCACCUAGGACACAUGGGAACUGUGGGACUUGGAGCAAAGUUUUCAAGUCUCUGUGCCUUAGUUUCCUCACCUGUGCUGUUCUAGGCGCUGAGGAUGCAGCCGUGCACAAGACGGAUGAAAUCCCUGCCCUCAGGGGGCCGACAUUUGCGGAGUAAAUAAAGGAAAGGCCAACAUGAACAGCUGAUUUGGAUACCAUCAAGACACCUGAAAUUUUAGCAUGAGCCAGAUGCCAAGGAAGAGACUCCGGGAGGAUCCUGAGGACCCCCCGGUUGCAGCCAUGUCGAGGCUGAUGCUGAGGAGGACCCCAACUGUCACGAGAAACACCCGUCGAACACAGCCACCCAGCUGGAGACAGAUCAAGAAGCUGUCACAGAUGAUGGAAGAAAACCUGAGGAAAGCGGGACAACCACUCAGAAUGAGUAAUGGUAGCUAUGAUAGUGGUAAUCACCAUUGCCGUGAGUAUUCCUUAAAGAAGGGCUGACACAGAGAACAAUUAUACUUAUUAGGCAUAUUCAUCAAUCUUGGCUGGCAAUAAUGCCUGGAUGUAAUCACUCUAUGACACAGUUACAUGUGCUUUCUGAUCUCAGUAUUUACCAUAACAAAUCUCCUCCUAUAAUUGAGGCAUACUGCCCUCAAAAACCUAUCUGUAACAAAAUUGAACCUGGCCAGAAAAAAUGAACAUACUUGUUUAGGAAGAUUGCAUUGCAGAACAGGCAGAGGUGCUGCACAACGAUUCCUAUGGAAUCAUUAUUAAUUGGUCCCCUAAAGGGAUGUUUAGCUUAAAUUGCACCAACAGGCCCCCCCGCAAAACCUGGCCAUAAACUGGCCCCGAAACUGACCAUGAACAAUAUCUCUGUGGCACUGUGACAUGUUCAUGAUGGCCAUGACGCCCACGCUGGAAGGUUGUGGGUUUACUGGAAUGAGGGCAAGGAACACCUUGCCCACCCAGGGCGGAAAACCACUUAAAGGCGUUUUUAAACCACAAACAACCGCAUGAGUGAUCUGUGCCUUAAGGACAUGCUCCUGCUGCAGAUAAGUAGCCAUACCCAUGCCUUUAUUUCAGCCCAUCCCUUUGCUUCCCAUAAGGGAUACUUUUAGUUAAUCUAAAAUCUAUAGAAACAAUGCUAAUGUUAAUAAAUACGUGGGUAAAUCUCUGUUUGAGGCUCUCAGCUCUGAAGGCUGUGAGACCCCUGAUUUCCCACUUCACACUUCUAUAUUUCUGUGUCUUUAAUUCCUCUAGCACCGCUGGGUUAGAGUUUCCCUGACUGAGCUGGUCUUGGCAUGAUUCUCCUGCCUCAGCCUCCCAAAUAGCUGGGAUUACAGGCAUGCACCACCAUGCCUUGUUAAUUUUUGUGUUUUUAGUAGAGAUGGGGUUUUACCAUGUUAGCCAGGCUGGUCUCGAACUCCUAGCUUCAAGAGAUCUUCCUGCCUCGGCCUCCCAAAGUGCUGGGAUUACAGGCAUGAGCCACUGUGCCCAGCCUGUUUUUAAUUUUUAUUUUCAAUUAAAAAAAUGUUUAUUGAGACAGAGUCUCACUCUGUCACCCAGGCUGGAGUGCAGUAGAGCAAUAAUGGCUCACUGCCACCUCGAACUCCCAGACUCAAACGAUCCUCCCA